AAUAUUGGACAAUGGGCGAAAGCUUGACCUAGCCAUGCCGCGUGUGUUAAGAAGGUCUUCGGAUUGUAAAGCACCUUAAGUUGGGAGGAAGGGGUUGAACCUAAUACUCUCAAUCUUUGACGUUAUCAACAGCAUAAGCAUCUGCCAACCCGCAGCCGUCACCUGCGGUAAAACAGAGGGUGCAAGCGUUAAUCGGGAUUACUGGGCGUAAAGCGCGCGUAGGUUGUUCAGUAAGAUGGAAGUGAAAUCCCCGGGCUUAACCUGGGAACUGCUUUCAUAACUGCUGAGCUAGAGUACGGUAGAGGGUAGUGGAAUUUCCUGUGUAGCGGUGAAAUGCGUAGAUAUAGGAAGGAACACCAGUGGCGAAGGCGACUACCUGGACUGAUACUGACACUGAGGUGCGAAAGCGUGGGGAGCAAACAGG
rnacentral:rRNA from 1 species